rnacentral:misc_RNA from 1 species
GAACGCAUCUUGCGCUCCUUGGUAUUCUGAGGAGCAUGCCUGUUUGAGUGUCAUUAUAACCCCUCAAGCCUAGCUUGGUGUUGGGGCCUGCUGUUGCCGGCAGCCCUUAAAAUCAGUGGCGGUGCCAUCUGGCUCUAAGCGUAGUAAUACUUCUCGCUACAGGGUCCCGGUGGAUGCCUGCCAUCAACCCCUAAAUUUCUAUGGUUGACCUCGGAUCGGGUAGGGAUACCCGCUGAACUUA